AAAAGGCUAUAGAAGGGAAAUAUUUAUAAGUCACUUACAGGGAUAAAGCUUGAAAGGUCUCAGCUUGUGAAAUCGGUCACGAUGUAAAAUUAUCAAAUCCUCGAGGCAAGAAAGAAGAAAAGAUAAUGAAGGGAAAAGUAUCAAAUUUCCGUGGUGAAGGCAAACGAUUCGUAAGACUUCAUUAAUCGAUUACGGAGAAUACCGCACAAAUGGAUUACCUUCCAGAGAUGUACGAAGCAGAGAGCUUUGUUAGACCGAAGAAUCAGUAUAAAGCUUAAAUGUUACGCAAAAGUACCUUAUUUAUUCGCCUCAUAUAAGGAACAUCAAUGAACACAGGCCUCGAUUGUUUAUCCGAUUCUUCCACCUUGGUGUAAACAUAACACGAUAUACCUAUUAACACGAUCGCACCGAUGACAGUCACCAGUUGCAAAAGUUUCUCUUCAUAGGCCACUGUACUUGCAAAGCCACAAGUUAUGUUGUUAAGUAACGUACAUACAACGAAGCUGAUAAAGUUUUUCGCGCAUCGCUGAACAGCAAAGAUGAAACUUCAGCUGCUAGCUAAAGAGUUUAAAACUUUACCUGUAGAACAAUAAUCUUUUACGUCCGGACAAGGGAAUGGUGAGUGCUCUUCGCAAUCAUCCUCAACUGGUAGUUGACAUUUUCUCGAAGAUUUUGGACAUUCUUGCGUAUCUUCGUCAAAC